rnacentral:lncRNA from 1 species
GGAGAUCGUGGACCCACGGGGUCCCAGGUCGGCCGAUCUGGCAGUUUAUCGCUUAGCUGAGCGUCGGACCUUCCAAAACUGGUCCAAGUGUCUGAAAGGACUAAUGUGGGCAUAGGAGUAAUUGGGAUGAGAUGCACGUAUUUCUAGGAGCCAGGGCAGGGUGUUUAAUUUAAAUGCUUUUUGUCCAGCAGUUUAUUAAUUUAUUAUUCUUGGAUAAUCAGGCACCAG